CUCUCACUUGUCUGGUAAAGUCUUCAGCUUGACCNCAUUCUGCUGUCUCCCGGGUAAGAUUCCUGGCGUUGACUCCAAUUGAACCGCAGGCUUCACCCCUUGUGGUGCUCCCCCGCCAAUUCCUUUAAGUUUCAGACUUGCGUCCGUACUUCCCAGGCGGCAAACUUAACGGCUUCCCUGCGGCACCGCAUUGGCCAUAAGCCAAUGCAUCACCGAGUUUGCAUCGUUUACAGCUGGGACUACCCGGGUAUCUAAUCCGGUUUGCUCCCCCAGCUUUCAUCCCUCACCGUCGAACGUGUUCUGGCAGACCGCCUUCGCCACUGGUGGUCCUCAAUGGAUCAGAGGAUUUUACCCCUACCCACUGAAUACCGUCUGCCUCUCCCACUCCCUAGCUCUGUAGUAUCUCCAGCGGCCCAUCUGUUGAGCAGGUGGAUUUAACCGAAGACUUGCAGAGCCGGCUACGGAUUGCUUUAGGGCCCCCAAUAAACGUCCUNGACCACUCCCGGGGUGGGCUGGUAUUACCCGGCGGGCGGCUUGACAACCCAGGAACUUUGGGCCCCCCAAANCCCCCCCCCUUUUUUAAUU
rnacentral:rRNA from 1 species